rnacentral:rRNA from 1 species
ACGAAGUAGCAAUACUUAGUGGCAGACGGGUGAGUAACAUGUAGGUAUCUGCCCUUUGGCCUGGAAUAACACGAGGAAACUUGUGCUAAUACCGGAUAAGUCUUUACGGAGAAAGCUUUAUGCACCAUUGGAUGAGCCUGCACUUGAUUAGUUUGUUGGUGGGGUAAUGGCCUACCAAGACUGUGAUCAAUAGCUGAUUUGAGAGGAUGAUCAGCCACAUUGGGACUGAGACACGGCCCAAACUCCUACGGGAGGCAGCAGUGGGGAAUCUUGCACAAUGGAGGAAACUCUGAUGCAGCGAUGCCGCGUGAGUGAAGAAGGCCCUUGGGUUGUAAAGCUCUUUCGUCGGGGAAGAAAAUGACUGUACCCGAAUAAGAAGGUCCG